UAAAAUGAUCUUGCCUAACUUUC
rnacentral:piRNA from 1 species